CGCACUGUGCUAUGUUACAGUGUCGCACUGUGCUAUGUUACAGUGUCUCACUAUGUUACAGUGUCGCACUGUGCUAUGUUACAGUGUCGCACUGUGCUAUGUUACAGUGUCACACUGUGCUAUGCACAAGACAUAUCAUGGGAAUGACUAUAUAGGUAGCUAAUGAAUAGAAGUGACUAUAUACAUUAGCCAGUGAAUAUAACUAAUAAUGGGUAUAACAUUGCAUUGUUAUAACAUUCCAGUGUGAAUAAGUGUUAAAGAAGAAAGUUUGUAACACGAUGGUUUUACCACGUGUCCACAGGGUAAUGUGAGUAGCCUACAUCACGUCAAAACAAAAUACUUGUGUUCCAGGGUCCGUGUCCAUAACACGACUCUUAAGAAGAUAAAUGAUGUGAUAUAUGUUUGUUGAUAAAACUAUCAACAAGUCUCCGCAAUAACUUGUUACAGGUCUGAUGACAGAAUUAGGGAUGGAGGUGAAAUGAUGGAAUGAUCUGGUCCCCCCAACACAAGUAUUUUGGGGGUGGGGAGGAUGGGGGUGUCCUGUAGUUUUGCACCAGCUUCAAUGACGCAAAUAAAAAUAUGUACAAAUACUUGUGUUGGGGCGGGGGUGAAAUUAGGUGGGUAGGACGGGUGUGGCUUGUAGUUUCGCGUUAGCGUCAGUGAUGUGAAUAGAAAUAUGUACUGCUGAUUCUAAGUUUGUAGUUGAGAUUUGUUUUCACAAUUUUCGGUAGUUUUUGGUUUUUUAGUGAAAAUAUCUCAUCUUGAACUUUAGAAAUCUAUGUGAGCAUGUAGUAUGUGUAGAACUUGUUUGUAACAUACACAGUUUCAGAUAAACAUUGGCUUUACUUGAUGUUAACUGGACAGCUUACUCUCAUGUCUCAUUAUUACCUGUUGGUGGAUUUUGAAGGCGUAUGCAGUCAUGACCCGUCUUUCAAUGUGUUAUGCAUUUGUCUGUAAUGAGCAUUUUUUCUAUUGUUUGUAGUACAAAAAGAUAAACGUAUGUUUGCCUUACAGGGAACAAAGUUUGAUAGUGCUAUCUCUACAUUGAGGGAAAUCUCUGUGAUAAUAAUUAUUCAAUGUGCAAGGUUUAACCUGUGGUUACACAACCCACCAUAGAUGCAUUUUGUCAGUUUGUUUGCGUGGUCUUGGAUGCGAUCAGAUUAGAUUUUAGUCAAACCAUGAUGUGGGACAUGAGGUUCUCACUGUAGCAGAGAAACCAGGAAUCAGGGACUCAAACCAGGACCAAUGUGACUGCAAGCAAACGCUAGAAGUUACGUGCCAUCUCUGUCAGGUAUUUGUUAGUUACUCUAGAACAGUUUCUUGUGAUACAGAAGCAUAUGUAUGUCAUUGAUACAUGGAUCCUCUAACAGAAUCUCACUGUUGUCCAGUCACUGGAUAUAAGGGAGGGGUCAGUGACCGGUUUGGUCACCUCAAAUUAUCAUUACUUGAUUGGGAGUUAAACAAAUUUAUGUAAAGGUCUUAUUUCAAUCUUUAAGAAAAUGUUAAUGAAAGCAUCACUAUUUAUGUGCAAAAUAGCUAAUUGUUUCUUAUAAUGUGCUACUGUAUCAUAAAUUGUUUCGAUAUUGAAUAUUAAUUUCCUAAAUCUGUUGAAUUAAAAGGGUUACACCAGUAGAGUUAAGAUUAUUGGUAGAAAAUGUAUAUGAUAAAUGUGAAAAAUCUUCUUUGACACUGCAUGAGAAAGAAAUCAUUUACCCAUCGCAUCUAUAAUAAUGACUGGUCCCUUAGACUUGAAUAGGAUGCUGAAGCACACCUGGAGACUCCUCUUGAACAGAUUCAUAUGCAAACUCAAGUCCCACUGGUGCAGUCUAUCUGGAAGUGAUUGGCUAGCAAUGAUGAAGACAAUUACCCUGUAGUAUAUCUGGGUGUUCACAGUACCCUGUAGUAUAUCUGGGUGUUCACAGUACCCUGUAGUCUAUCCAGGUGUUCACAGUACCCUGUAGUAUAUCUGGGUGUUCACAGUACCCUGUAGUAUAUCUGGGUGUUCACAGUACCCUGUAGUAUAUCUGGGUGUUCACAGUACCCUGUAGUAUAUCUGGGUGUUCACAGUACCCUGUAGUAUAUCCAGGUGUUCACAGUACCCUGUAGUAUAUCUGGGUGUUCACAGUACCCUGUAGUAUAUCCAGGUGUUCACAGUACCCUGUAGUAUAUCUGGGUGUUCACAGUACCCUGUAGUAUAUCCAGGUGUUCACAGUACCCUGUAGUAUAUCUGGGUGUUCACAGUACCCUGUAGUAUAUCUGGGUGUUCACAGUACCCUGUAGUAUAUCCAGGUGUUCACAGUACCCUGUAGUAUAUCUGGGUGUUCACAGUACCCUGUAGUAUAUCUGGGUGUUCACAGUACCCUGUAGUAUAUCUGGGUGUUCACAGUACCCUGUAGUAUAUCUGGGUGUUCACAGUACCCUGUAGUAUAUAUGGGUGUUCACAGUACCCUGUAGUAUAUCUGGGUGUUCACAGUACCCUGUAGUAUAUCCAGGUGUUCACAGUACCCUGUAGUAUAUCUGGGUGUUCACAGUACUUUUAUCUCUGUAGUACUUAUAGGUAAGUUAUGAUAAUAUUACCAUUUGACAGUUUCUUGGAUGGUCCAGUUGACCUUACAUUGUCCCAUGUAGCAUCAGAUGAUCAUAAAAUGAAGGCACUUGAAUGUCAAAUCAACAUCAAUAAGAACUAGAUUGUUUCUAGUUGUCUUCCAAGUAUCACACAUGAAGUCAUUCUUGUUUAUUUCAUUCUCCAUAGCAAUGGUAAGUCAAAGCCAAACUUUUACAUAAUUGGUUUAGUAUUUUCACUCAAUGCAUCGUUGUGUGAGUGUGCUUUACAUAAGCUCAAUCAUUUGAAACAUCUACAGAGACUAGAUUUAAUAAAUUUACAGCAGAUUGUAAAUGUUUGAUUGAAAAUCUGAAAUGUCUCCUGGUAUUACUUGUUUUGUUAUAAUUAUUUUAUUAAGAUGAUGUUCACAUAGGUUUAUACUUCAUGAUUAAUUUUGUUACUGAAGUAUUUUUAAAAGAGAGUAUUUUAUUCUGUGUCUGCUAGAGCCAUUCAGUAUUCUGUCUGGUCAGAUAGUUGGUGCCUGUAUUUUUUAUCAUCCUGCAUCUAUGAGAUUUGGUAGGCAGCCAUUCAGAAAUAUACCUUCGUAACUCAGGUCUUGUCUGUUUGUCCCUUGAUAGUGAUGCGUUCUUAGUGUGUGCAUUUUUUUCUUUAUCAUUAGCCAAAGAAUAAAUACAUUAUUCAGACAUGGGUACUUUUUGUAAUUUCUAACAUGUGGGGUCUUUCAAACAUAAAUUAUUAAAACAACUUUUUCACUGCCUCACUCAACUUUUUUCAAGCGCAUAUCAGAAAACUGAUGAUCUUUACUUAUAUUGUGACAUGCCUUUGAGUAUCAUAUAAAAAAAAAGAAGUAAUUAUGAGUGUGGAUUCCUCACGGACACCAUUUCUUAAUUUGGGUUUGUUUCUGAAGCAGAUUAAACCAUUGUUGAUAAUGGAAUAUGUUAUGGAAGAACUAUGGACUCCUGUAACCCAGAGCAAAUUCUGUACCCACAAGUAAAAUUUGGCACCAGAUGUGAAAAAGUGUUGAGGAUUGAUUGCAUUUAUGUGAUGCAUUUCAGGAAUUCAAUCAUUCCCAUGUGUUUCUACACAGUGUAAUUUUUCAAAAUGGCCGACAUUAACAUGUUGCUUCAUGGUAUGCAAGCAGGAAAUGGUAACCUAGAAAUAUAGAUGCUAGUUUUAUAUUGUAGAACAUUGACCAUUACCAGACUCGUUCCCAGCUUUAGUGCAAUGACUCAAGAGGAACACAAGAUGUGCAAUAUUUCUUUCUUUGAUCCAAAGUGUUGUGAGGGCUCCAAGCCCUGUUAUAUUUGUUUGUGUAUCAUAUCCAUGUAAAUAUCAAUUUUUCAAUAAUGUUUUCUUGUCUUAUAUAUUUUAAUUGUGAUGUAUAUAUGAGGUAGAUAUGAAUAGACAUUUCUCCUGAUGUUGUAAUUGUACAUAGCCAUGGAAUGCUGAACUGUACAAACUGCAACAACUGCUUCAGCAAAUACUCCCAUGUGAUAUGCAAUGUAAAAUGUCAUUUGGCGAAACGCAAGGAUGUUAGUCCUUUCAUGUACGAUUUUCUCUAUUAUCAUGUUCAACUUACUAGUAUGCUACAAGAUAGAAAUCAGUGACAGAUUCUUUGCUUUUAGUUGUUCUGUUGAGCCAAUGAAUGGACCUUAACUAUAUUUUGUAGCAUAUAUAGAUAGUCUUUAAAUAAAUAACAAAUAUAUGUUAAUACCUUGAUGAAAAACUUUCCAGAUUAUUAAGCAGUGUAGAGCAGUUUUGAUUUAAUGAAUCUCAAACUAACCAAUAAUUUUCCAGCAAUAAAAUGGUUGUCUAAUCAUUUUUAGAUGUUAUAAAUUAAUAUUUAGUGUCAAACCACCAUGAAAAGUCGAACUCUAAAAUGAUUUCUAAUAAAAUAACUUGCCCCACUUCAUGAUUGACUGCAUUUUUUUAAAAAUACUUAACAACUAGUUUGAAUAUCUUUUCUCACAAUUAAGAAUCUUUGUCUGGCCAUUUGUUGUUCAUAAUCAACAAUAACAAUGGUGUUAUCAAAGAUCAAGUCAUAACGAAACUUCAUUGUUGGUUAAUAACAUUCUUCAUUGAAGAAUUUGGUACUUUUAUUUGAUUUGCUAAGGAUGUAUGGGCUUUAUUGAAUAUCAUAUAUUGGACUGGGAUGAUACACUAUGUCACGAUAUGAUACGUAUCGCGAUAUAUACACCUUGAAAGAAUGACACAGUAUUACGAUUUAAAAUGAUUUAUUUCAAGGUAUUUGUGUAUAGCAAUAACACUAUCAUACUUGUGUAUGUUUCCCUAAAUAAGUACUUUAACAUGUUUAAGAUAAUACUGUUUUGAAAAAAAAUUGUGUAUCAAUACACCAGUCGACAAUACGAUAGCUGUAUCAAACUUAAAUGUAUUGUGAUGUAUUGGUGCAUCAGUGAAUCGUCCCAGCCCUGAUCAUAUAAGUCAUGUUUACAUUUAACCAACCAAUUUUAACAAUUGGGAAAUCAGUAAACAUCAUAAACAUGCGAUGUGUAUAUUCCAUUUCACACCAAUUGGUGGCUAAGGGUACAAAAUAGAUGUUUGUCUUGCAUUCAGGGAUUUUUUUAUGUCAGUUUAUUUGUAUAUGGAAAUUAUGCAUAAUAUUUUGUUGUUUUCAUUCACAUAGAAAUUGGGGUGUCUACUUCUAUUGUGAUUGUCUUUCAGCUUGUUACUGAACUAGUCAAUUGCAUAGAUAACAAAUUUGACAAUUUCCACAGCGGUGUUCAGGUCAGUUUUUGCAUUAAUAUAUAACGUCACAUUAAAAGGAUUCGCACUGCCUAAAUAUAUAGAAAAGCUGCUUAUACAUUUAAAUUGGGUCUUUUCUAUAUGUUUAGAUUGAUUAAUGGACUCCUGCUGUCUAGAAGUGUUAUCAUACAUUUUUGUCAGUUUCUGUUGACAAGGGUUACAUUCAGUUACACAUUUUUUAAAACGGUUAUUACUUAUUUCAUCUGAGAAUAAAUUUGCACAAAAGGCUGUGUAUAGGUCAUAAGCCUCAUGUGUUUAGCAUGAGUAGAUUCGUGUUGUCAACUUCAAGGGAACAGCAGUUCAAGCAUGACCUGUGCCCAUUUGGCAUGAGAAGAUUAAUGUUCGUGUUGACAACUUUAAGGGAACAGGAAUUCACGAAUGACCUGUGCUCAUUUUGCAUGAGGACCAAUACAUGUACCUACCCAUUCCAGUGUGUCCAUCACUUUCUUCAGCCUCAUCAUUUGCAUUAAUGUAGAUAGGGCAUUUAGGAUACAUGGAAAAUUGAUAUGUUUAUCCUCGGCUACAGAUUCUGGAGUAGGUGAUCAGUGUUCCACAGACAUCCAACCUACCAUUUGCCAGGAUCCUGAAUUUACAAUGCUCAUGAAUACCUGUUUACUUCCUGAUCGUGUAUCCAAGCAAGAUCUGUUAUUCUUUGUAAAUAAUAUUGAUUUUUUUUGCAAUUAUCUGAAUCUCAGAAUAAAAGCUAAAAUAUAA